AGAGACAGCAGUAGCCGCGGUAAUACGUAUGUCACGAGCGUUAUCCGGAUUUAUUGGGCGUAAAGCGCGUCUAGGUGGUUAUAUAAGUCUGAUGUGAAAAUGCAGGGCUCAACUCUGUAUUGCGUUGGAAACUGUAUAACUAGAGUACUGGUGAGGUAAGCGGAACUACAAGUGUAGAGGUGAAAUUCGUAGAUAUUUGUAGGAAUGCCGAUGGGGAAGCCAGCUUACUGGACAGAUACUGACGCUGAAGCGCGAAAGCGUGGGUAGCAAACAGGAUUAGAUACCCGCGUAGUCCCUGUCUCUUAUACA
rnacentral:rRNA from 1 species